rnacentral:rRNA from 1 species
GGGUGAGUAAUGUCUGGGAAACUGCCUGAUGGAGGGGGAUAACUACUGGAAACGGUAGCUAAUACCGCAUAACGUCGCAAGACCAAAGAGGGGGACCUUCGGGCCUCUUGCCAUCGGAUGUGCCCAGAUGGGAUUAGCUUGUUGGUGGGGUAACGGCUCACCAAGGCGACGAUCCCUAGCUGGUCUGAGAGGAUGACCAGCCACACUGGAACUGAGACACGGUCCAGACUCCUACGGGAGGCAGCAGUGGGGAAUAUUGCACAAUGGGCGCAAGCCUGAUGCAGCCAUGCCGCGUGUAUGAAGAAGGCCUUCGGGUUGUAAAGUACUUUCAGCGGGGAGGAA